AUUGAACGCUGGCGGCAUGCCUAACACAUGCAAGUCGAACGGCAGCACGGGUCCUUGUUCCUGGUGGCGAGUGGCGAACGGGUGAGUAACACAUGGGUAACCGUCCCGUCGCUGGGGGUUGACUUGAGGAAGCUGGAUUUAUUCCGCAUACGAAUUACCGCCGGCAGCGGGGGGCUUUGGGGCUUUGCGCUGUUGGGUUGGAAGAUGCCGUUUUUGAUGGUUGGGGGGGUAAAGGGGUACCCCGGCGACGACCAGUAUCUGGUGUGAGAGGAAGACCAGCCACACGGGAACUGAGACAGGGCCCAGACUCCUGCGGGAGGCAGCAGUGGGGAAUGUUAGACAAUGGGGGAAAGCCUGAUCCAGCAAUGCCGCGUGUGUGAAGAAGGCCUUCGGGUUGUAAAGCACUUUUGUCCGGAGAGAAACGCUGUGGCCUAAUACGGAGGGAGAAUGACGGUACCGGGAGAAUAAGCACCGGCUAACUACGUG
rnacentral:rRNA from 1 species